CUUCUUCUUCUUCUUCUUCUUCUCUUCUUCUUCUUUAAUUGAAAUCUAUUCUUAGGGUUUUUGGAGGAGACAUGAUGUAAAUUACGCUUCUGAGACAGCAGGGACACCACUAUCCUCUCGCGACGUCUCACUUGCUCUGCCAAUCACCUGAGUAGGAAAACAGAACCCGAAGAGAUGGCGCGGGAGUUGGGGUUGGGGUGGAGGUGUUGGGGGGAGCGUGUGGCCCACUGGAUAUCGGUUACCAGCCCUGGGUUCGAUCCCCAUCUGGUAUGCUGCGGCGCUGCAGUGGUAGGAUGGAGGCGGUGGGCUAUCCUCGGCGUCAAAGUGAAUUCAAGGCAAGCCUGGGUUAAGUGAGAAUGAAAUGAAGCGAAGAUGGGAAAAAUAACUCUGCCUUUGAUGAAAUGCACGCUCAUAUAACCCAAACCGCACCCAUGCAUGCUGCGGUUCAGACCCUCACUGAUGAGUCUGUCCGCUGUCUGGGCUCCUACUUGGAAGCCUGCUCCAGGUAAAUGGAUGCUCCAGACAUCCCCCUGCUUUCCUAACCCGUAACUGACCAGCCCGGACGCUUCCAUCCCCCUCCCUACAGGCCGCUACUCCCUCCAGCCCACCGGACCUGCUUUCUCUCAAAGCCCUAUAGUUUCCUUCUAAGUUCACUGGGAGACAAAGAACCCACAAAGGGGACCCCGAGUUCCCCAGUUGGGAUGACACUAGUGAAAUCGGCCGUGCACCAAGCCAGGGGAUUCAGCCUCGAGGGCCACAACUCUUUAAGGGGCGACGUCUCUUCGGACCUCACCCGCAGAGCGCAGAGAAGUCGGCAAACCGCUCAAGUCGAGCAGCAGAAAUCUCGGUCUGGCAAACAGAGCCCCGGGCAAACUUGGGCGUGCUCAAGCGUCUUUGGGGAGGUUACUCCAGUCCAACCCGAGCGAGAGAAGACAGACUUGGAGAAAGUGUAGGAAAGGGAACAAUUACAGGAAAUGCCCUGUAAGGCUGGCUAAGCCUCAGCUAGAAGCCGCGGGAAAGCAGCCCUCACCGGGAAGGUGGAACGAGCGCGCCCUCUGCUGGUGCCUCCUGCAGCACUGGAUUCCUAUGGAGCCAGGAAGACUCGAGAGGACGCUCUGAUACCCAGCUUGGGCACCAGUAUUUAGAAAUGGCUCGGGUACCCCUACAGGUGCCUUCUCCUACCCAGGAAACCGUCCCCUUCCCCCACCCUAUUGAGGCUGGAGUUUCCCUCUUGGUCCAGCCCAUCCGUCAGCUCAGAGUGAAUAGCUAUUGAUUUCAGGAAGGAAACCGCACACGGGCAGGGGUGGGAUCUGCAGAAGAGAGGCUACGGUUGCCCAGAUCCCUGUUCAGUUCCUAGCACCUAGGACGGACUUCGUAGCAUGUUGAGGGUCACUGUGAGCUCAGGACUCUGCAGUUACAAGUGAGGUCCAAACACAUUCAGUCUAGAGACAAGGCCAUCCAUCCAAGUCCAGAGGAACAAGACAACUUCACAUCCUCAGCUGCCACUUCCGUGCCCCUCUGACCUGGGGGUCACUCGGAUGCCCAGCCUCUGACUUCAAUCCUCAGCAUCUCCAAGAACUUGAGGCUGAGAGGAAGAAGCCGUGACUGUGCCAUCUGUGAGUGGGACAGCAUCACUCGCUGGCUGCUAGCCCAGGUUCCUUCAGCUUGUAGGUAAAGGUGCUUACUGCCAAGCCAGACGGCCCGACUUUGGACACUGGGACGUGCACGGUGUAAGGAGGGAACCAACAUGUGUACUGUGACACCCUGCCCCUCCAGGCAUAUAAUAGUCAUCUUAAUCACAUUGAAAAGUCAGCUCUAGGACUAGAGCUCAGCGGUUAAGAGGAUUGACAGCUCUUCAAGAGGU
rnacentral:sRNA from 1 species